rnacentral:rRNA from 1 species
AAUGAACGCUGGCGGCGUGCCUAACACAUGCAAGUCGUACGAGAAAUCCCGAGCUUGCUUGGGAGAGUAAAGUGGCGCACGGGUGAGUAACGCGUGGGUAACCCACCUUCGAAUCUGGGAUAACUCCGCGAAAGCGGUGCUAAUACCGGAUAAGACCACAGCCGUUUCGGCGGCAGAGGUAAAAGCUGACCUCUCCAUGGAAGUUAGCGUUCGAGGACGGGCCCGCGUCCUAUCAGCUUGUUGGUGGGGUAAAAGCCUACCAAGGCAGCGACGGGUAGCUGGUCUGAGAGGAUGAUCAGCCACACUGGAACUGGAACACGGUCCAGACUCCUACGGGAGGCAGCAGUGAGGAAUUUUGCGCAAUGGGGGAAACCCUGACGCAGCAACGCCGCGUGGGUGAAGAAGGCUUUCGGGUCGUAAAGCCCUGUCAGGUGGGAAGAGCCGUUUCGAUACUAAUAAUGUCGAAGCCUGACGGUACCACCAGAGGAAGCACCGGCCAACUCCGUG